rnacentral:rRNA from 1 species
GACGAACGCUGGCGGCGUGCUUAACACAUGCAAGUCGAACGAAGUGGCGAACGGGUGAGUAACGCGUAAUCAACCUGCCCUUCAGAGGGGGACAACAGUGGGAAACGACUGCUAAUACCGCAUACUGAAGGAGGGGCAUGCGUCUGAUCAGCUAGUUGGCGGGUUAACGGCCCACAAAGGCGAUGAUCAGUAGCAGUUCUGAGAGGAUGAACGGCCAAAUUGGUACUGAGACACGGCCCAGACUCCUACUGGAGGCAGCAGUGGGGAAUCUUCCGCAAUGGACGAAAGUCUGACGGAGCAACGCCGCGUGAGUGAUGACGGCCUUCGGGUUGUAAAGCUCUGUUAAUCGGGACGCGGUACCGGAAUAGAAAGCCACGGCUAACUACGUGCCAGCAGCCGCGGUAAUUC